rnacentral:rRNA from 1 species
UACGUAGGGGGCAAGCGUUGUCCGGAUUUAUUGGGCGUAAAGAGCGUGUAGGCGGCCAUGCAGGUCCGUUGUGAAAACUCGAGGCUCAACCUCGAGACGCCGAUGGAAACCGCAUGGCUAGAGUCCGGAAGAGGAGAGUGGAAUUCCUGGUGUAGCGGUGAAAUGCGCAGAUAUCAGGAAGAACACCCGUGGCUAAGGCGGCUCUCUAGUACGGUACUGACGCUGAGACGCGAAAGCGUGGGGGAGCGAACAGG